rnacentral:rRNA from 1 species
UACGGGGGGCUGCAGUGGGGAAUAUUGGACAAUGGGCGAAAGCCUGAUCCAGCCAUGCCGCGUGUGUGAAGAAGGCCUUCGGGUUGUAAAGCACUUUCAGUGGGGAAGAAAGCCUUGGGGCUAAUACCCUCGAGGAAGGACAUCACCCACAGAAGAAGCACCGGCUAACUCCGUGCCAGCAGCCGCGGUAAUACGGAGGGUGCGAGCGUUAAUCGGAAUUACUGGGGGUAAAGCGCGCGUAGGCGGUCUGAUAAGCCGGUUGUGAAAGCCCCGGGCUCAACCUGGGAACGGCAUCCGGAACUGUCAGGCUAGAGUGCAGGAGAGGAAGGUAGAAUUCCCGGUGUAGCGGUGAAAUGCGUAGAGAUCGGGAGGAAUACCAGUGGCGAAGGCGGCCUUCUGGACUGACACUGACGCUGAGGUGCGAAAGCGUGGGUAGCAAACAGGAUUAGAACCCGAGUAGUC